AUCGGAUGUGGGACUGGAGCCCAGGACCCCAGGAUCACCACCUGACCCAAAGGUCAGAUGCUUCUCAGAGUGUUUUGAGGCAGCCAUGUGAUAAGACAACAGAAUGUGUGUGGAAGUGAGGAGUGCUACUUCUACAUCUCGUACUUUAAAAACUCCCACCAUUCUCUAUGUUCUCCCACGACUUCAUCUGCCACCCAGAUACAGAAGACUACGGGAGGACUCCAGAGCCGAGGAUGUGACUCACUGGGUAGAAGGAACCUGGGUCCUAACACCCCAUGGAAGAUGACCCUCUCCUUGCCUUUGAACUUGAUGCGAAUGAAAAAAUGAUCUAUUAUGUUAAGCCACAGAACCUUUUGGGAGAGGGGGUAUAUUUUUACAACAGUACUCCAUUGAACGGUCACUCAACUAUUUAUUCAUACUUAUGUCACAUCUGCAACUGUGGUUAAAUCCAACUCUCUGUCUUCCUGUCACUGAGCAGAAGCUGCUGAGAACAGUUGAAAAAAAUUGCAAUUGUACAGAUCAGGGCAUGGUGAGGUCAUGGCCUCCACCCUCAGCAGAGCCCUCAGAGCUGUGCACCAGUUCAACUGUGUUGCUCUAGGCCACUAGUUCAUUCUUUAUUCUUUGAAAGUCUCUGAUGCUAGAUACUCACCAGUGCUUUACUUUCUCCAUUUUAUGGAAAGCAGAAUCCAACAGAGCUCUUACUGAACAUCCUGCUAUUGAACAUAGAAAUUUACUUGCAUUCACGCUUAUCCUUUUGCCCUUCCAUGCAGUUACAAUAAAAU